CAAAACGACCCAUAACAGUGCUCUCGAAGGUUCUCAAGCCCGGUUUCACCCUCCGUUUGCGGCGGCCAGUUAUUUUCUUUGCGGCCAGUUGUUUUCUUUGCGGCCAGUUAUUUUUUCCUUGCCGAUUCAGAAGGUGUUUGGGUUAGUUCAUCCCUUACCUUUGUUUUUUGGCGUUUUCUCGAUCGGUUAUGAAGGUGGUUGGGUGGUCUCGACGGGGGCGCGGUGGUCUCAGUUGGGUACAGUGAAUCAUACACCGCUUGGUUACCUAGAAAGGUGGGAACUUCUUCAUAUCUCCGCCUUACAGGAUUAUCUUCGAAUGAUGUCAAGGUGAUUAGUAUUUUUUUUCCAAUAUCUUUUAGAGAGUUCAGUCCUCUUUUGGUGUAUUUAAAUGUAUCUCUUGAUCUUUUACAACAUAAAUGUGGAAUUGAUUUGAGUAGUUUGGUUUUAAGGAUCUUUUGUUCUUGUGACAGAUAAAGACAAGAGCUCAAAAAAACGUCCCAGCAAAAAGAGAAAGCAGGGCUGUGUAUGAUACAACUUGGCGGCUUCAGAAUUUCUUCAUAACUUAAUUUGGAAUCAUUACUCAUAUCGUUCACUUGAUAGGUGAUUGUCAAUUUGUUCCCAGAGUGAGGAAACGAUGCUUUCCAAGUGGAGAAGCCUAUUACAUUCACCUACGAAGAUUUCCUUACGUCAACAGAGGGAUUCUCAGAAGCAAAUCUUCUUGGGCAUGAAGCUUAUGGUUCAGUGUAUUACGGUUUGCUCCAUGACCAGGAGGUAGCAAUCAAAAGAAUGACUGCAACAAAAACCAAAGAAUUCAUGGCUGAGAUGAAAGUCUUAUGUAAGGUUCAUCAUUCAUAUUUGGUGGAGCUGCUUGGUUACGUUGCCACUGACGAUGAGCUCUUUAUUAUUUACGAAUAUGCACAAAAAUGUUCUCCGAAGAGUCAUUUACACGAUUCUCAUAAUAAAGGCCAUACGUCUCUUUCAUGGAUCAUGAGGGUAGAGGUUUGGAUCGAGUACAUUCACGAACACACAAAAACUCAUUAUGUUCAUUGAGAAUUAAAUCAAGCAAUAUCUUACUUGAUGGAGCCUUUAGGGCAAAGAUAUCAGACUUGGGGCUGUCAAAACUUGUUGGUACAACAAGUGAUGAAGAAGCUUCAGCAACAAGAGUAGUUGGAACUUAUGGUUACUUAGCUCCCGGGUCAUAAAUCAAUGGCCUCGCCACAUCCAAAGGUGAUGUUUUUGCUUUUGGCGUACAUAUAUCUGGGAAGGAAGCUGUAAUAAGAACUGAAAGCACGCAAAAUGGUCCAGAAACUUUCUAAAAAAUAUUUUGGGAAUCUGGUAGCAAGUUAAUACAGUAGUUUGAAGAAAUUUGGAUUUGAACUUGUGAUUGGAGAAUGUAUUGUUACAGUAGUUUUAUUUAAUUUAUUGCUUCGGAGAACAAGAAGUUUGUACAUUGGUCGGUUUGGAAAAAUUUUAUGCACAUAUAUAAAGUUGAUGAAUUAUUAUUAGGAAAA